rnacentral:rRNA from 1 species
AUGGCUCCAAAGCCGCUGCGCUCACGGAAGCUGCGUAUUGUCAAUGGCCAGCGUUGUCUGGAGGGUACCGGCCACUGGGGCAAUUACGUCAGGCUUGUGAACGACAGCUUGGCAGACCAACCUGUCAAGCACAAGGAGUUUGUCAACUUCUUGCGCUUUUUCAGGAUCUGUAGAAUUCGUUCUGCGGCCAGUUAUAUGGAAAAGGCAUUAGAAGGACACCCCCAGCUGAUCCGCCAGUUUAACCGGUUCUUGCCUAACAAUUGUCAGAUCAAGGUCAAGGAGGAGGGGGCCAGCGCCCCAAUGAGCAGCCGUGAAAAUAUCAGUGCCGUGGCUGGGCUCGUGAAGCUGAAGGAGGGCGGCAGCCCAAGGGUUCAGUUAUCUUAG